UUCAGUAUUUUAUGCUUUAAAUUCUUGUCAAAAAGUUGGAUUAAAACGAUUUUUUGGUAAAUGCCAAAGAAAAAAUACAUAAGUUUGCUCUUGAAUUUUUGAAUGGCAGUUCCGACGGCAUACCCCAAUUUAAAAAUAUGAUUGCAUUUUUCAUUUAUUGAGAAAUCCACAUAUAAAGUUUUGAUAGAAGCUUACAAAAGUAUUUCUCUUUUCAUUACCUUGGAACUUAUACUGCCUGAAUAAUUCCGAAAGCAAAAUUGCAUUGUAAGACUGCGA